AUGUGGACUCCUAUAAAUACGUUAACCAAACUCACCUUAUUCCAUCACUUCACUUUUAUAAUCCCAAAUUAAAUUCAAUUAGCUGUUCUUUAUAUUGAGUUAUUUUGAUUAUAUCAUGGAUUUUGAAAGCAUAACUGAGUUUCUUGCUAACAAAACCAUCUUCGUUACUGGUGCAACUGGUUUCAUUGCCAAGAUUCUAGUGGAGAAGAUACUUCGGAUUCAACCAAAUGUUAACAAAUUAUACCUUCUUGUAAGGGCUAGAGAUGCUCAGGCAGCCCAUGUUCGGCUACAACAUGAGAUUUGCGAAAACACGGCUCGAAGAGAAAAAUCCUAGAUUCCGCCGCGAAGAAGGAGACAUUUCAAAGCAGUGCAGCUCGAUUGCUAGCGAGUCUCCGAUCCAAUUCUGCGAAUUAGUUCGUCGGCGAUUUAGGUACAGCGCAAUUUAUGUUAAUUAGGGUUCUUGUUUAUCAGCCUACGGUGUAUAGAAGAUUUCAAGGGUUCUUGUUUAUCAGCCUAUUUCUAGGGUUUUUAAGGUUGGGUGAAACGCCAAACCGUUGGAGCUGGAUCUUCGGUUAACGUCGCCGCCGUCAUUGAUUACCUUAUUUCUUAGAUGGUGCCUGAUAUUGUAGAGGGUGAUGGGUUUGUUGGGAGGCAGCCUCAUAUCAAGUAUGAGCUCAGAGAUAGUCCUGGUCUUGGAGGAUACAACCAAUGUGUAUUCUUCAACUGCAGUUAUAGUAGUUCGGAUACUCCACUGAGUGAGGGUCAGUGCCAUUGGUUUUCUCCCAAGGGUUCUACUUUGCUUAAAGCGGGCUCUAAAAAUCGCAAAUGCCGCUCAACAGAUGGCUAAUGCUACUCGGGGUAGUGGUGGUUUAGUUAUGCUGUUCAUUGAAAUCAUCAAUAAGUAUCUCUAUUUUUUUGAGAAGGGAAACAACCAAAUCACCGUCAAUACAAUCCAGGAUCUAAUGGAAUUAAUUACUACAGAGAUGCAAAGUGAUAAUGCGGCAACAGAUUCUGCUGCUGAAGCUUUCUUUGCAAGCACAUUGCGGUACAUCCAAUUCCAGAAACAAAAAGGUGGCGCAGUUAGUGAGAAAUAUGAACCUAAUGUUAGUUUUUUUGUUGAUCUGGGAGAACUGAAAAGUUAAAACUUGAGAAAGGGAAACAAACUCGGUAACAAUUGCUCUUCAAUCCGCUAAACUUGUGAGAAUUGUCGCCUUUGAUCUUGCUCUUGGGACUCUUGAAUGGUUCCCUCAUUUGUCUUUGAAUACGCUGACGCUGACGCUGCGUGCUACGUGUGUCAUGGGAAGUUGCUUAUCCAAGCAUGAUCUCAACUCUCAAAUUGAUUUGGUAAUUGAAAUUUUGAAGCGUCCAGGAGAAGUCCUCCCUGUUUGUCUUAGUGUCGCACGAACGCUGUAAAUUCAUAAUUUAGUGUGCUUCAAUUUUAAUUUCUCGGCUUUUUUUUUUCUCGGUUCAAAUUUUUAUUUUUAUUUCAUAUUGUAAUUUGUUUGAUUUUGGUCUGACAAUGGAGUUUUUUUCAUCUGCUUGAAUGAUAUCUUGGGCCUCA